rnacentral:piRNA from 1 species
UGCACUCCAGCCUGGGCAACAAGAGUGU